rnacentral:tRNA from 1 species
UCCUUUGUAGUGCAAAGGUAGCACACUCGGCUUACAUCGAGAGGUUCAGGUUCCAGUCCUGGCGAGGGCG